rnacentral:tRNA from 1 species
GGGCGUAUAGUUCAGGGGUAUGAACGCUUGACUUGCACUCAAGAGGCCGCGGGUUCAAAUCCCGCUACGUCCA